UCGAGAAUCUUCGGCAAUGGGCGCAAGCCUGACCGAGCGAUGCCGCGUGAGGGAAGAAGGCCUUCGGGUCGUAAACCUCUGUCAGGAGGGACGAAAUCUGACGGUACCUCCAGAGGAAGCCACGGCUAACUACGUGCCAGCAGCCGCGGUAACACGUAGGUGGCGAGCGUUAUUCGGAAUCACUGGGCGUAAAGGGUCCGCAGGGGGUCUGCCAAGUCCGGUGUGAAAGCCCGCGGCUCAACCGCGGAAGUGCAUUGGAAACGGGCGGACUUGAGUACAGGAGAGGAGAGCGGAAUUCCCGGUGUAGCGGUGGAAUGCGUAGAUAUCGGGAAGAACACCGAGCAGCGAAGGCAGCUCUCUGGCCUGUCACUGACCCUGAGGGACGAAAGCGUGGGCAGCGAACA
rnacentral:rRNA from 1 species